AGACGCAGAGCAGCAACGAUGUUGACAGCGAUUACAACAACACCAGAGGCUUUGUCGUCGAUUCUCCGAAAUGGACGUAGGAGCUCGACGCAGGGAUGACGGCCGGUUGAGGCACUGCGCGAUUUCACAGAACAGAACGAGUGUAUCUCGGAGAAUGGGUGCAAGGUGUGUAAUGACGACUACCAUUCCCUCAAUCCCCUGGCAGAUGGUUGUACGUAGCGGAUUGAGCCGAUGGAGUUCUUCAUCGGCAAGGGCUGCCGCCCCAGUGUAUAACACACUGUUACAACAACAACAACCAUUCCCUCCUGCAGUUCCAUCCGAUGCCGAGAAUCAGCCGUGAUGAGCUGGAGAGGAGGCGUGAUGACCCCAGACUACCGGAGGACCUCCUGGAAUAGUUAAAUAGACAGGAGGCGAGGCGAGUAUUAGUUGAGGUGGUUCCCAGGCGAGAAAUCCGCCUUGCCCGAAGGCAUCAGCCGCCACUUACUCUCCAUCAACAAAUGCUGCGUAUUACCAUCCGCAUCCUAAGACGCCUCAACGAGGUUAUGGAAAAUCAUUGAUCGUCCUUCUCGCCCAAGCCAAGUUUACCCGUUUUUAUAUAGUUUUAAUAAAUUCUAAGCUUUAACAUGCAUUUCAAAUGUAUUUAAAUAAAACUCAUUGUGAAUUGAUAACUUGAA